AUACGAAGGGGGCUAGCGUUGUUCGGAAUCACUGGGCGUAAAGCGCGCGUAGGUGGAUCAAUUAGUUGAGGGUGAAAUCCCGGGGCUCAACCUCGGAACUGCCUUCAAUACUGUUGAUCUUGAGACCGAGAGAGGUGAGUGGAAUUCCUAGUGUAGAGGUGAAAUUCGUAGAUAUUAGGAAGAACACCAGUGGCGAAGGCGGCUCACUGGCUCGGUACUGACGCUGAGGUGCGAAAGCGUGGGGACCAAACAGGAUUAGAUACCCUAGUAGUCC
rnacentral:rRNA from 1 species